rnacentral:rRNA from 1 species
UACAGAGGUCCCAAGCGUUGUUCGGAUUCACUGGGCGUAAAGGGUGCGUAGGCGGUUGGGUAAGUCUGAUGUGAAAGCUCGGAGCUUAACUCCGAAAUGGCAUUGAAUACUUCUUAACUUGAGGGUCGGAGGGGAGACUGGAAUUCUCGGUGUAGCAGUGAAAUGCGUAGAUAUCGAGAGGAACACCAGUGGCGAAGGCGAGUCUCUGGACGACUCCUGACACUGAGGCACGAAAGCUAGGGGAGCAAACAGG